AUUGAACGCUGGCGGCAGGCUUAACACAUGCAAGUCGAGCGGAGAUGAGGUGCUUGCACCUUAUCUUAGCGGCGGACGGGUGAGUAAUGCUUAGGAAUCUGCCUAUUAGUGGGGGACAACAUUCCGAAAGGAAUGCUAAUACCGCAUACGUCCUACGGGAGAAAGCAGGGGAUCUUCGGACCUUGCGCUAAUAGAUGAGCCUAAGUCGGAUUAGCUAGUUGGUGGGGUAAAGGCCUACCAAGGCGACGAUCUGUAGCGGGUCUGAGAGGAUGAGCAGCAACAGUGGGACUGAGACACGGCCCAGACUCAUACGGGAGGCAGCAGUGGGGAAUAUUGGACAAUGGGGGGAACACUGAUCCAGCCAUGCCGCGUGUGUGAAGAAGGCCUUAUGGUUGUAAAGCACUUUAAGCGAGGAGGAGGCUACUGAGACUAAUACUCUUGGAUAGUGGACGUUACUCGCAGAAUAAGCACCGGCUAACUCUGUGCCAGCAGCCGCCGUAACAC
rnacentral:rRNA from 1 species